AACGUAGGUGGCGAGCGUUAUCCGGAUUUACUGGGCGUAAAGCAUGUGCAGACGGAUUGGUAAGUGGUGUAUGAAAGCGUCCGGCUUAACCGGGCAAGGGUAUGCCAGACUGCCAGUCUUGAGAGUGGGAGAGGGAUGUGGAAUUCCGGGUGUAGUGGUGAAAUGCGCAGAUAUCAGGAAGAACACCCGUGGCGAAGGCGGCUCUCUGGGACGGUACUGACGCUGAGACGCGAAAGCGUGGGGAGCAAACAGG
rnacentral:rRNA from 1 species